GGCAGUUCUCGGGUGACACACCCCAGAAUCAGACUCCCUCCUCUCUGGUUCUGGGGUGUGUCACCCAAGAACUGCU
rfam:Myotis lucifugus cont2.974, whole genome shotgun sequence.